UAAGCAUAUCAAUAAGCGGAGGAAAAGAAACCAACAGGGAUUGCCCCCAGUAACGGCGAGUGAAGCGGCAACAGCUCAAAUUUGAAAUCUGGCCUUCUGGUCCGAAUUGUAAUUUGUAGAGGAUGCUUUUGGUUAGGUACCUUCCGAGUUCCUUGGAACAGGACGCCUUAGAGGGUGAGAGCCCCGUACGGUUGGAUACCGAGCCUCUGUAAAGCUCCUUCGACGAGUCGAGUAGUUUGGGAAUGCUGCUCUAAAUGGGAGGUAAAUUUCUUCUAAAGCUAAAUACCGGCCAGAGACCGAUAGCGCACAAGUAGAGUGAUCGAAAGAUGAAAAGCACUUUGAAAAGAGGGUUAAAUAGUACGUGAAAUUGUUGAAAGGGAAGGGCUUAUGACCAGACCUUUGCCUUGCGGAUCAUCCGGUGUUCUCACCGGUGCACUUCGCUUGGUUUAGGCCAGCAUCGAUUUCGGUAGGGGGAUAAAGACUUUAGUAAUGUGGCUCCUCCGGGAGUGUUAUAGACUAUUGUGUAAUACCUUUACUGGGAUCGAGGACCGCGCUUCGGCUAGGAUGCUGGCAUAAUGGUCAUCAGCCACCCGUCUUGAAACACGGACCAAGGAGUCGAACAUUUAUGCGAGUGUUUGGGUGUUAAACCCUCACGCGUAAUGAAAGUGAACGGAGGUGAGAGCCCUUUUGGGUGCAUCAUCGACCGAUCCUGAUGUCUUCGGAUGGAUUUGAGUAAGAGCAUAACUGUUCGGACCCGAAAGAUGGUGAACUAUGCGUGGAUAGGGUGAAGCCAGAGGAAAACUCUGGUGGAGGCUCGCAGCGGUUUCUGACGUGCAAAUCGAAUCGUCAAAUCUGCGCAUGGGGCGAAAGACGAAUCGAA
rnacentral:rRNA from 1 species